rnacentral:rRNA from 1 species
AGCAGUAGCCGCGGGAAUACAGAGGGUGCGAGCGUUAAUCGGAAUUACUGGGCGUAAAGCGCGCGUAGGUGGUUUGUUAAGUUGGAUGUGAAAUCCCCGGGCUCAACCUGGGAACUGCAUCCAAAACUGGCAAGCUAGAGUAUGGUAGAGGGUGGUGGAAUUUCCUGUGUAGCGGUGAAAUGCGUAGAUAUAGGAAGGAACACCAGUGGCGAAGGCGACCACCUGGACUGAUACUGACACUGAGGUGCGAAAGCGUGGGGAGCAAACAGGAUUAGAUACCCCCGUAGUCCCUGUCUCUUAUAA